CCGGGCCGAGUGCGUUCCCAUGACAACGGGCGCGCGCGGGGCGCGGGGGCGCGCCCUCCUCUCCCGGGUUGGGAGGACCCGCCCGCGCCCCCCUAGAGGCGGCCGCCGGGAGCCGGGGUGGGGCGGGGCGGCGUACGUUUGAGCUGAAAUCCCAGGCUUUUUCUUGAAUGGGAUUUGAGGGGGCGCGGAGAAGAGAAAAGAUGAACUGUUACUCGAAAGCAGAAGUCACUGGAGGAUGCUUCGUGAAGACCAAGCACCCAGGCAGGGUCGUCUGGGGACCGGGUUCGUUUGAGGAUAAGUGUCUUCUGGCGCCCCCAGGGUUAACAGACCUCAAGCUGCAGCCCUGGAGAAGGCUGCCUGGCGCGGACCAAGGCUCUGAACGUUACUUUCCUCCACGUUAGGAUUUAGGAACCGCCAGGAGUAGUUGUGAUCAGAUUGUCAUACGUGGGGAAACAGGCGUCGCUUUUAAAGCAUCUGGGAUUACCUAAAAUAAUUUAAGAGGAGAUGUUUAAAGCUAAUUUUCUUCUUUCUACAUUAUACCUCUUUGAUAAUGUCUAAAGAAAAAAUAGCAUUCCUUAGGACUGGCACUCCUCUGCCACAAAAGAUUGUUCCCCUGAGCUUUUGGUAUUUAUCUGAUAAUCACUGGCAACAUCUUUUUUUUUUUUUCUACGAUGUUUUCUCGCCUGUCUUUGCCUUAAAUAACGAGGAGCCGUACAACGCCUUGAGAUUAUCAGCCAAAAGAUGUCCCUGAAAAGCUCACUUAUCAUGUUUCCAUUUAAUGUCUUCAAAAAGUCAGUAUUUACUUACUAUAAUUGUUCCCUAUUUAAGAAAUUCCUUUUUUUUUUUCUUGUUUCUUAGGGACCUGAUACUAUUUUGGUAUUCAAUCGUAUAGAUUUUCUCUUUGGUUCUUAUUUCUAACUACAUGCAUAUUCCCUCUUUCAGCUCCUCGGGUUCCCUAAUGUCAUUUUCCUCCUUUCUUUCAAUUUCACCCAAUUCUUUUAAGAAUAUUAUAUAAGUAUCUUUUAGUUAAUGUAUCCCGAGAAUCAAAUCUUUAUAAAAAUGGUAAUCACUACUUCAAAUAGAGCCACAGUUAAUUCAUCAUCAUUUCACAGCAACCCCAAGCAUCUAAAGAAAAAGAAAAGCGGGUUGAAAGGAGGGGCCAAAUCUUUUGUUUCAAGUCAGCUAACUCAAAAAAAAAGAAAGAAAAAUAUUAAAAUAAUUCAGCAUAAUGGGCAAAUGUUUAAGAUACUAUAUGCUUGAAAUUUUCAGAUGUAAAUCGACUUUGCUUUAGCCACUGAUAUAAAAAUUAAUCUUAAUUCCCCAGAAUUUUAAGUCUUUAAAGAAAAGGGACUGGAUUUUUAAACAGCCUUUUUGCUCAUGGAAAAUGGCACACAGCUCAUAAAGAUAAAUGGAAACCAAAGAAGGCUUUGUAGGAUAGAUUUUAUAACCAUGUAAAGAUUGCUGCUGAUCUGCUGUGCAACCAGAUAAAUCAGAUAGCUCCAUUUGCUAUCUCUACUGGUGGUCUUCAACCUUUUGGGGGACCUAAUUUCUCUUUGAGAAAUAUUAUCCCUCUUCCUAGAGGCAUAGGAGUUCUUGCACAAUUUCAGGUGGAUUAUUCAGGAGUCCUAGGUUACAUUCCCUAGCUAUCCUUUGCAAUCUCAGAAAGUUUUUGCCUUUUAAAAUUUGUUUUUAAAAACUUUCACAGCCAGGAGUGAUGGCGCACACCUGUAAUCUCAGUAAUUAGGGAAGCUGAGGCAGGAGAUCACAAGUUCAAAGCCAUCUUCAGCAAUUUAGCAAAGCCUUCAAUAAAUACAUAAAAGGGGCUACGGAUGCACCUCAGUGGAUAAGCACCCCUGAGUUCAAUCCCCAUUAGCAAACAAACAAAAAACUCUUUCACAAUAAACCAUGGGAUUUUGAACAGGACAGGACCAAAUUCCCUUGAUUUACAGAUUAAAAAAAAACAAGGGUCCAGUGGUUAAAAGAUUUCCCCAAAUGUGUGUACCUAUUUAGUGGCAGAACUAAUAAGAAAAUCUUGGGCUUCUCUGCCCUCCAUCCCCCAACAAUUUAAAGCUUGCAUGGUUUGAAUUUAAAAGGAAAAAUCUGUUUAGUAUUAGAAGCAGAGUAGCAAGGGGAAUAUUUUUGUCCUCAGCCACUUUACAUGUUUGGGUCUUAGAGUUUGGGAAGUUGAAUCUUGUCCCAAAGAGACUGUAUUUACAUACUUUUCAGCUCAGAACUAUAUGUCCAGCCAGGUUGAUAAAGGAAAAGUACUUUGUUUCUUUGUUCAGCUCUAUUAGAGAGGUGCCAGAGCAUCGUAGUUUUGGGUGCUAGAGCUUUUGGGGAGUUCUCUCUGUUCCUUGGGGAAUUGUCCUGGGGGUGAUGGGGGUAGAGGGAGAUUAACCAUCCUUUGCUUAGACUUACCCUCUUCAGAGUAUAGCCAAGCAUUGGUUCUAAAUGUGGUCAAAGCUGAAUCUUUUUUUUUUUUAAUUAUUUUUUUUUGUAGUUGUAGAUGGACAGAAUGUCUUUAUUAUUUUAUUUGUUUAUUUUCAUGUGGUGCUGAGGACCGAACCCAGUGCCUCACACAUGCUAGGCAAGUGCUCUGCCACUGAGCUACAGCCCCAGUCCCCCAAAGCUGAAUCUUAGGGAUAGACCCAGCUUGGGCUCAAGUAGGGACCCCCACCCUUCCUCUUAUCUAUAGAAGUCCUUGGUACUCUCGAAUACAAAACACACAACUGUUUUUAGGGUAUGAUCUGGAACAAUAUAAUGUAAAUGUUGCCAUGUAUCUAUUUAGAAUCUCUAGCUUUCCACAAAAGAUGCCUUUUGAUUGACUUCCAAAUGGUUUGAUGGUCUAACAAAUUGUUUUCGGUCUUGAUCAAAGUGGUGUCUUGAAAAUAGUAUUGGUUUAUUAUAAUAGUGCACCACACAGUGAGGAUCUGAAGGUGUUUCUUUAUUCACUUAGCUGGAAAUGAAGCAAUACCCUUUCAGCUACAGAUUCAAUGUGAGGAAGGGCGUUAACUACUUAGAGGUGAUUAUUAUGGGUGGAGACUUCAGUUGCUUAUAAAAAGGGGAUUGGCAAAGAAUGAAUUGACUUUUCAAAACAUUUAUGUUUUCAUUCAAAGAUUUAAUUUUGUGUAUAACAGGAAAGUAAUUAGAAGGGCCAGAUUUGUUUGCUCUAUUGCUAACUCAUUGUUAGAUUUUUAAACAAAUAAUUUACUCUUUUUGGUUCCCCCUAAUUCAUAAUAUAAAAGAACAGGAUUAGGUUAUCACUUACAUCCCUUUUAGGUUUAUCUGCCAUUCUGCAGUAUUUUAAAAUCUUUAACUGGAUUACGGAUAAAACAAGACAUUUUUAUUUGAAUCUUCAGUAUAUUUAGAGUGCUGAUAUAUCUAAAGUUCAUAAAUACCCAAGUAAUAAAGAAGUCAUAUUUUAUUAAUGCAUUGAUACUGCUGUUUCACCUUCAGUAUGGUGUAUGUUGUACUAAUAAUGUUGCAUUUAUUGUAUAGAGAGUAACUGUUUUCAGGUUUAACAGGAUUUAAAUUAAAUGUAUGCAGUGAACAAUCCAUUUUAAACUUACUAAGACAGUUUCUCAUUUUUAUUUAAAUUUUGUUGACUAAACAGAACUUAGACAAUCCAUUAAAAUUGUUUUUCUACAUCUUAAGCUAAUGACUUAUCACAAGUGUUUUAGAUUUUUCUUUUUGUUUCUCAUUUAGCUUCAUUCCCAUUGGUAAACAUUGAUUUGUUCCUCAGUUUUGAAUGAAGCUGAAAUUAAUGAGGCAGUUUCUGCCUCACAAUAACAAGUUAAAAUUAUAGCACUUUAUCAUGUCAACACAGCUUUAAACACUAGGAAUACCAGUGCUAUUAGCACAGUUCCCAAAAUAAUGCACCAGUUUGCUGUUGAAGAAAAAAUUACACAGCUUAUUUCUGCUAAUGUGAUAGAAACAUUUUCCAUUCCUCAGUUACACCAAUUAAGGUUAAAAUUAUUUAUUUACAUAGUAAUAAUAUGUGACAGUCUCUCUAUCCUAUAUUUAUGUUAUCAGUUGAAGUAUUUGUUUCCAUCGUGUGAAUUUGUUUAGAGUAAAUUUGGACUGUUUUUAAUAAUGUUUUCCUUAAACACUUACUCUGGGUGAGUUUUUGCCCCUUUUAUCUCAGAUUUUCUGGCUUAAUACCUUACCUGGUAUUUGUAUAGCAUUCCAUGAUCUAUAAAAGCACCUUCAAAGUACAAAGCCAUAUAUAUACAGAUAAACUAAGUAUUUGCCUUGAACAUGUACUUAGACCAUAAAGCUAUUUAUGAAAAGAAAAAGAAUAUUUAUGUCAUAAAUUGUAAAAUUGGUCAUUAAGCUUAAAUAAAUUAACGUUUAGGAGAAUCAUUUGUGUUCUAUUGACCACCAG
rnacentral:lncRNA from 1 species